AUCUAGUUGACUAGUCCCAGAUAGGACGAAAUGCAUAUCCUGGAU
rnacentral:hammerhead_ribozyme from 1 species